AGGUCACUGCUAUUGGGAUUCGGCUAAGCCAUGCAAGCGGAGGGCGCGGUCGAAAGAUCGUGGCCCCGCACACUGCUCAGUAACACGUAGUCAACCUACCCUUGGGACGGGGACAACCUCGGGAAACUGAGGCUAAUCCCCGAUAGGUGAGGGACGCUGGAAUGCCUCCUCGCCCAAAGCUCCGGCGCCCAAGGAUGGGACUGCGGUCUAUCAGGCUGUUGGUGGUGUAACGGACCACCAAACCUACGACGGGUACGGGCGAUGGGAGUCGGAGCCCGGAGAUGGGGACUGAGACAAGGCCCCAGGCCCUACGGGGCGCAGCAGGCGCGAAAACUCCGCAAUGCGCGCAAGCGUGACGGGGGAAUCCCAAGUGCCGUUGGUCUUAUGAUCGACGGUUUUUAGGAAGUCUAAGAAGCUUCCAGAAUAAGGGCUGGGCAAGACUGGUGCCAGCCGCCGCGGUAACACCAGCAGCCCAAGUGGUGACCACGAUUAUUGGGCCUAAAGCGCUCGUAGCCGGAUCAGCAAGUCCCUUGUGAAAUCGGGCCGCCUAACGGUUCGGCGUGCAAGGGAUACUGUUGGUCUUGAGGCCGGGAGAGGUCGGAGGUACUCCUGGGGUAGCGGUGAAAUGCUCUAAUCCUAGGGGGACCACCAGUGGCGAAGGCGUCCGACCAGAACGGACCUGACGGUGAGGGGCGAAGGCUAGGGGAGCGAACGGGAUUAGAUACCCCGGUAGUCCUAGCUGUAAAGCAUGCGGGCCAGGUGUCUAGCGCUCCUUGAGGGCGCUAGGUGCCGGAGGGAAGCCGUUAAGCCCGCCGCCUGGGAAGUACGGCCGCAAGGCUGAAACUUAAAGAAAUUGGCGGGGGAGCACCACAAGAGGUGGGACCUGCGGUUCAAUUGGAUUCAACGCCGGAAAACUCACCAGGGGCGACAGCUGGUUGACGGCCAGAUUGACGAUCUUGCCCGACUAGCUGAGAGGUGGUGCAUGGCCAUCGUCAGCUCGUACCGUGAGGCGUCCUGUUA
rnacentral:rRNA from 1 species